UAGGCCUAACACAUGCAAGUCGAACGGCAGCACGGGUGCUUGCACCUGGUGGCGAGUGGCGAACGGGUGAGUAAUAUAUCGGAACAUACCUUGUAGUGGGGGAUAACGUAGCGAAAGUGACGCUAGUACCGCAUAGGAUCUGAGGAGGAAAGCGGGGGAUCCUCGGACCUCGUGCUAUAAGAGUGGCCGAUAUCUGAUUAGCUAGUUGGUGAGGUAAAGGCUCACCAAGGCGACGAUCAGUAGCUGGUCUGAGAGGACGACCAGCCACACUGGAACUGAGACACGGCCCAGACUCCUACGGGAGGCAGCAGUGGGGAAUUUUGGACGAUGGGGGCAACCCUGAUCCAGCAAUGCCGCGUGAGUGAAGAAGGCCCUCGGGUUUAAAGCAGGGUGUCAGGGAAGAAACGGUGAAUCCUAAUAUGGUUUGCUAAGAC
rnacentral:rRNA from 1 species